rnacentral:rRNA from 1 species
GGAUGAACGCUGGCGGCGUGCCUAAUACAUGCAAGUCGAACGAGGUGCUUUUGUAGCAAUACGAGAGUAUCCUAGUGGCGAACGGGUGAGUAACGCGUUGGUGACCUACCCCAAAGUGUGGGAUAGCAGUCCGAAAGGAUUGCUAAUACCGCAUGUGGUCUUCAGGUUUAGAAACUGAUGACUAAAGGAGCAAUUCGCUUUGGGAGGGACCUGCGUCCCAUCAGCUAGUUGGUGAGGUAAUGGCUCACCAAGGCGACGACGGGUAGGGGACCUGAGAGGGUGACCCCCCACAAUGGAACUGAAACACGGUCCAUACACCUACGGGUGGCAGCAGUAGGGAAUAUUGCUCAAUGGGCGAAAGCCUGAAGCAGCAACGCCGCGUGCACGAUGAAGGCCUUCGGGUCGUAAAGUGCUUUUCUGGGAGAUGAGAAAGGACAGUAUCCCAGGAAUAAGUCUCGGCUAACUACGUGCCAGCAGCCGCGGUAAAACGUAGGAGGCGAGCGUUAUCCGGAUUCACUGGGCGUAAAGCGCGUGCAGGUGGCUUGGUAAGUUAGGCGUGAAAUCUCCCGGCUCAACUGGGAGAGGUCGUCUAAUACUACCGGGCUAGAGAGCAGAAGAGGAAGAUGGAAUUCCCGGUGUAGUGGUGAAAUGCGUAGAUAUCGGGAGGAACACCAGUGGCGAAGGCGAUCUUCUGGUCUGUUUCUGACACUCAGACGCGACAGCUAGGGUAGUAAACGGGAUUAGAGACCCCGGUAAUCCUAGCCGUAAACGAUGUGAACUUGGCGUUGGUGGGUUAAACUCCAUCAGUGCCGUAGCAAACGCGAUAAGUUCACCGCCUGGGGAGUACGGCCGCAAGGCUAAAACUCAAAGGAAUUGACGGGGGCCCGCACAAGCGGCGGAGCAUGUGGAUUAAUUCGAUGCAACGCGAAGAACCUUACCUGGGUUUGACAUGCACAGGACGCCGGUAGAGAUAUCGGUUCCCUUGUGGCCUGUGUGCAGGUGGUGCAUGGCUGUCGUCAGCUCGUGUCGUGAGAUGUUGGGUUAAGUCCCGCAACGAGCGCAACCCUUGUCUCAUGUUGCCAGCGCGUGAUGGCGGGGACUCGUGAGAGACUGCCGGGGUCAACUCGGAGGAAGGUGGGGAUGACGUCAAGUCAUCAUGCCCCUUAUGUCCAGGGCUUCACACAUGCUACAAUGGCCGGUACAAAGGGCUGCGAUGCCGUGACGCUUAAGCGAAUCCUUGGUAAAGCCGGUCUCAGUUCGGAUCGGGGUCUGCAACUCGACCCCGUGAAGUCGGAGUCGCUAGUAAUC